AGAGGAAGUAAAAGUCGUAACAAGGUCUCCGUUGGUGAACCAGCGGAGGGAUCAUUACAGAGUGUAAAAACUCCCAAUCCCUUUGUGAACAUACCACUGUUGCCUCGGCGGACCUACCCGGUAGCUACCCUGUAGCUACCCUGUAGCCGCCGGCGGACCACCAAACUCUGAUUAUGUAGAUAUCUGAGCGUACUUUUAAAUAAGUCAAAACUUUCAACAACGGAUCUCUUGGUUCUGGCAUCGAUGAAGAACGCAGCGAAAUGCGAUAAGUAAUGUGAAUUGCAGAAUUCAGUGAAUCAUCGAAUCUUUGAACGCACAUUGCGCCCAUUAGUACUCUAGUGGGCAUGCCUGUUCGAGCGUCAUUACGACCCUUAAGCCUAGCUUAGUAUUGGGAACCUACGUGCGGCAGCUACCCUGUAGCUACCCUGUAGCUCCUUAAAGACAACGGCGGAGACGUGGAGUCCUCUGAGCUUAGUAACUUUUCUAGCUUCUGAGGGCGCCGCGGCCCCUGCCGUAAAACCCCAACUUUUAGUGGUUGACCUCGGAUCAGGUAGGAAUACCCGCUGAACUUAAGCAUAUCAAU
rnacentral:rRNA from 1 species